AGUCACUGACAUUAGAUACCCCUGUAGUCCAGGGUGUAAACGCUGCAGACUUGGUGCUGGAGGCCCUUUGGGGGCAUUCAGUGCCGGAGAGAAGUUGUUAAGUCUGCUACUUGGGAGUACGUCCGCAAGGAUGAAACUUAAAGGAAUUGGCGGGGGAGCACCGCAACGGGAGGAGCGUGCGGUUUAAUUGGAUUCAACACCGUAAACUCACCAGGGAAGACUGUUACAUGAAGGCCGAGAUGAAGACUCUGCUAGAUUUCAG
rnacentral:rRNA from 1 species